UUAAAUUGAAGAGUUUGAUCAUGGCUCAGAUUGAACGCUGGCGGCAGGCCUAACACAUGCAAGUCGAGCGGUAACACAGGGAGCUUGCUCCUGGGUGACGAGCGGCGGACGGGUGAGUAAUGUCUGGGAAACUGCCUGAUGGAGGGGGAUAACUACUGGAAACGGUAGCUAAUACCGCAUAACGUCGCAAGACCAAAGAGGGGGACCUUCGGGCCUCUUGCCAUCAGAUGUGCCCAGAUGGGAUUAGCUAGUAGGUGGGGUAAU
rnacentral:rRNA from 1 species